AGCAGUCGCCACGGUAACACCAGCACCUCGAGUGGUCAGGAGGUUUAUUGGGCCUAAAGCAUCCGUAGCCGGUUGCAUAAGUUUUCGGUUAAAUCUAUGCGCUUAACGUAUAGGCCGCCGAAAAUACUGUGCAGCUAGGGAGUGGGAGAGGUACACGGUACUCGAUAGGAAGGGGUAAAAUCCUUUGAUCUAUUGAUGACCACCUGUGGCGAAGGCGGUGUACCAGAACACGUUCGACGGUGAGGGAUGAAAGCUGGGGGAGCAAACCGGAUUAGAUACCCGCGUAGUCCCUGUCUCUUAUAC
rnacentral:rRNA from 1 species